rnacentral:rRNA from 1 species
CGAACGCUGGCGGCAGGCCUAAUACAUGCAAGUCGAACGGCUCUUCGGAGCAGUGGCGGACGGGUGAGUAACGCGUGGGAAUGUGCCCUUUGGUACGGAACAACACAGGGAAACUUGUGCUAAUACCGUAUAUGCCCUUCGGGGGAAAGAUUUAUCGCCAUUGGAGCAGCCCGCGUUGGAUUAGGUAGUUGGUGAGGUAAAGGCUCACCAAGCCUACGAUCCAUAGCUGGUCUGAGAGGAUGACCAGCCACACUGGGACUGAGACACGGCCCAGACUCCGACGGGAGGCAGCAGUAGGGAAUCUUGCGCAAUGGGCGAAAGCCUGACGCAGCCAUGCCGCGUGUAUGAUGAAGGUCUUAGGAUUGUAAAAUACUUUCACCGGGGAAGAUAAUGACGGUACCCGGAGAAGAAGCCCCGGCUAACUUCGUGCCAGCCGCCGCUGUAACAC